UAAUACUUACCUACUUUAUUACAGAUACCAACGCGUCAAUGUGACCGAAGUGAUAGGGCCUAUAAUCGACAGCAGCGCUGCUCGCUUGGAGAUAAUCCACUCGUAUCCACCACCGAAAAGCAGGAAGAACGUCCAGGACAUCCUCUCGGAUGAGACAGGGAAGGAAUUCACGGUGUUCCAGACCAAACCCGAGGCAGUCAUCAAAACGAUAGCUGCUGGUGUAUUCGAUCUGGAAAAACGCACGUGGAGCAUCUAUAUUGACAAACCAAACGAGUCAGAGCCUGUUGCGGUUCUACCAAUUUCUUUUACCAUGUUAGAUAAUUCUUACUAAGCCUUAGUUUGUAGACGCAAAUAUAGUUUGAAAAUAACGCUACCUAUUUAAUUUUAAUUGAGUGUGUAUUUGACUUUGUCCAAUUUAAUGUGUCAAUAUUACAAAUUAGGUUAAAUGUAUUUAGGUUUCACCAAUAAAUAGUUAGUACCAUAAAUACAUUUAAAGAUUUAAAAGUAUAAUGCCCAUUUUCACCAUCAAUACCUAAUUUUAAGUGAACCCUAUGAAAACAAAAUACCUGUUAAUCAUUAUUACCAUAGGGGUCACUUAAAAAUUAGGGAUUGAUGUUGAAAACGGGCAUAAGUCCUCUAACUGCUUAUUGGUGAACUCAGACCUAGUAGAUUAUUUAUGUGAUUGCAAAAUGAUAUAAUAUUUAUAAUUCAAUACACUCGCGAGCAAAUGUAUGGAAUCACCCCAUUUGUUUCGAGCGAUCGUAAGAACUAAAUAAUUAAUAGAAGAUAAAAUAUAAAAAAUAUGGUACCACUUAAAGGUAUUUUACAUAGUACCUAGAUACUUUAAAUUGAUACCAUAGAUACAUAUUACUUAUUUGAUUCUAUACUUUUGCUCGUGUAUAUGUUACGGUUAAUGUGAUAAAUUGAAAAUUAUUAAUAAUAACCGGUCAUUAUGAAUAAUUACC